ACCACUCGAUCUUUGACAAAGUCAUGCUAUAUCAGCUGUGCCGGUUCGUCCGGCUAUGGCGAUAAACGCUACGUGGCAUAAGCGUUGUGGACCCGGGGGCAGUGCCCGGCGCCUCCACCAGCAAACCGCACCCUUUAUCGGGGGUGGGAUGUGGGGGCGACACAGGUUCGACACGCGCGGUAAAGACGUAGUUUUCGUUCGGUAUGGCUCCGCCGCAAUGGGCCAUUCACAAGUGCCAACGAUAACAGCCGUGAGGCUGUGGCGCUCGCUGCCUAGGAAUAGGUAAGCGCGGUUCGGGGGGCACCGGGCAACAGAAGCCCCCCACU
rnacentral:tmRNA from 1 species